rnacentral:rRNA from 1 species
UACGUAGGGGGCGAGCGUUGUCCGGAAUCAUUGGGCGUAAAGAGCUCGUAGGCGGUUCAGUAAGUCAGGUGUGAAAGCUCCGAGCUCAACUCGGAGAGGCCACCUGAUACUGCUGUGACUAGAAUCCAGUAGGGGAGUGUGGAACUCCUGGUGUAGCGGUGAAAUGCGCAGAUAUCGGGAGGAACACCAAUGGCGAAGGCAGCUUGCUGGGACGGUACUGACGCUGAGGCGCGAAAGCGUGGGGAGCAAACAGG